UACGGAGGGUGCAAGCGUUGUUCGGAUUGACUGGGCGUAAAGGGCGUGUAGGCGGUCGGCCAAGUCUGAUGUGAAAGCCCGAGGCUCAGCCUCGGAAGUGCGUCGGAAACUAGUCGGCUGGAGCGCGAUAGAAGAGGGUGGAAUUCCUGGUGUAGCGGUGAAAUGCGUAGAUAUCAGGAGGAACACCGGCGGCGAAGGCGGCCCUCUGGAUCGUUGCUGACGCUGAGACGCGAAAGCGUGGGGAGCAAACAGG
rnacentral:rRNA from 1 species